CCUAAUACAUGCAAGUCGAACGAACUCUGGUAUUGAUUGGUGCUUGCAUCAUGAUUUACAUUUGAGUGAGUGGCGAACUGGUGAGUAACACGUGGGAAACCUGCCCAGAAGCGGGGGAUAACACCUGGAAACAGAUGCUAAUACCGCAUAACAACUUGGACCGCAUGGUCCGAGUUUGAAAGAUGGCUUCGGCUAUCACUUUUGGAUGGUCCCGCGGCGUAUUAGCUAGAUGGUGGGGUAACGGCUCACCAUGGCAAUGAUACGUAGCCGACCUGAGAGGGUAAUCGGCCACAUUGGGACUGAGACACGGCCCAAACUCCUACGGGAGGCAGCAGUAGGGAAUCUUCCACAAUGGACGAAAGUCUGAUGGAGCAACGCCGCGUGAGUGAAGAAGGGUUUCGGCUCGUAAAACUCUGUUGUUAAAGAAGAACAUAUCUGAGAGUAACUGUUCAGGUAUUGACGGUAUUUAACCAGAAAGCCACGGCUAACUACGUGCCAGCAGCCGCGGUAAUACGUAGGUGGCAAGCGUUGUCCGGAUUUAUUGGGCGUAAAGCGAGCGCAGGCGGUUUUUUAAGUCUGAUGUGAAAGCCUUCGGCUCAACCGAAGAAGUGCAUCGGAAACUGGGAAACUUGAGUGCAGAAGAGGACAGUGGAACUCCAUGUGUAGCGGUGAAAUGCGUAGAUAUAUGGAAGAACACCAGUGGCGAAGGCGGCUGUCUGGUCUGUAACUGACGCUGAGGCUCGAAAGUAUGGGUAGCAAACAGGAUUAGAUACCCUGGUAGUCCAUACCGUAAACGAUGAAUGCUAAGUGUUGGAGGGUUUCCGCCCUUCAGUGCUGCAGCUAACGCAUUAAGCAUUCCGCCUGGGGAGUACGGCCGCAAGGCUGAAACUCAAAGGAAUUGACGGGGGCCCGCACAAGCGGUGGAGCAUGUGGUUUAAUUCGAAGCUACGCGAAGAACCUUACCAGGUCUUGACAUACUAUGCAAAUCUAAGAGAUUAGACGUUCCCUUCGGGGACAUGGAUACAGGUGGUGCAUGGUUGUCGUCAGCUCGUGUCGUGAGAUGUUGGGUUAAGUCCCGCAACGAGCGCAACCCUUAUUAUCAGUUGCCAGCAUUAAGUUGGGCACUCUGGUGAGACUGCCGGUGACAAACCGGAGGAAGGUGGGGAUGACGUCAAAUCAUCAUGCCCCUUAUGACCUGGGCUACACACGUGCUACAAUGGAUGGUACAACGAGUUGCGAACUCGCGAGAGUAAGCUAAUCUCUUAAAGCCAUUCUCAGUUCGGAUUGUAGGCUGCAACUCGCCUACAUGAAGUCGGAAUCGCUAGUAAUCGCGGAUCAGCAUGCCGCGGUGAAUACGUUCCCGGGCCUUGUACACACCGCCCGUCACACCAUGAGAGUUUGUAACACCCAAAGUCGGUGGGGUAACCUUUUAGGAACCAGCCGCCUAA
rnacentral:rRNA from 1 species